CCUACGGGUGGCAGCAGUGGGGAAUAUUGCACAAUGGGGGAAACCCUGAUGCAGCGACGCCGCGUGAGUGAAGAAGUAAUUCGUUACGUAAAGCUCUAUCAGCAGGGAAGAAAAUGACGGUACCUGAGUAAGAAGCACCGGCGACCAACGUGACAGCAGCGGCGGUAAUACGUAGGGGGCAAGCGUUAUCCGGAUUUACUGGGUGUAAAGGGAGCGUAGACGGUGCGCCAAGUCUGGAGUGAAAUGCCGGAGCUUAACUGCGGAAGUGCUGUGGAAACUGGCGAACUAGAGUGCGGGAGGGGUAAGCGGAAUUCCUGGUGUAGCGGUGAAAUGCGUAGAUAUUAGGCGGAACACCGGUGGCGAAGGCGGCGUACUGGAGCGUAACUGACGUUGCGGCUCGAAAGCGUGGGGAUCAAACAGGAUUAGAUACCCGGGUAGUC
rnacentral:rRNA from 1 species